CUGAGGACCGUAUUGGGGAGAGAGGCGGAGGGGGCGGGGGAACGGGAGGCGGCGAAAAGGGGAGGUGGGAGGCCCUGCGCAUGCGUGCCAGCGCCCAUGCAAAUCUGCUGUACAUCCAGAGAGCAAAGUGGGAUGAUCUGUCACUACACCUGCAGCACCACGCUCGGAGGACAGCUCUUGCUCGCAGCUUCCAGACCCAGGAAGCCUGAGGGGGAAGGAAGGAAGUACGGGCGAAAUCAUCAGAUUGGCUUCCCAGCUCUGGGAAUCUGAAGCGGGCCCACAUCUUCCGGCCAACUUCCAUUGAACUUCCAGCACUCGAAAGGGACCGAAAUGGAGAGCAAAGGUAUGUGGUUGUCCCCAUCGGGGGACUUCCCGCUGCAUGUGCGUGUGGCCAGGGCAGUCCUCAGCGAGGGGACUGCAGUGCUUGGGGAGAGAGCAUCAUACUAGGUCGAUAGGAGGAGAUGCUAUGUCCGUUGCAGCACCCGGGGAGUGUGGCAGGAAGGCGACUUCUUUUUAACUCCCACCGCUUGGAAGACAGUGUUUAAUACUCCAUCAGUUGCGUAGUGAAGUGUGAUGAGUUUUUUUUUUUUUUUUUUUCUUUUUGGGUGGGUGGGGGGAGAGUCUUUAGAUGGUGGGGGAGGAGAGAGAUGUUGGUAAAGCAGUUUCUUUCCUAUAGAAUGGAUGGGCUCGAAUACAGAUAUUUCAUUUGCUUUAGGAUUGCUGACAGGCAUGUUCGUAUCUGAUAUCCAAUAAUGCAUUGCUAUAAAAAAUGUUUGGAUUUCUCCACCCCCACCCCAUAAAGAUGGUAUUUCUGGGUGUGUAUGACCACAUCCUACUGCAUUUUGAAUAUAUAUCAGCAGAGAAAUUGG
rnacentral:lncRNA from 1 species